rnacentral:rRNA from 1 species
GAUAAACGCUGGCGGCGUGCCUAAAACAUGCAAGUCGAACGGUGCUCGUCCUUCGGGGUGAGUGCAGUGGCGGACGGCUGAGUAACACGUGGGUGACCUGCCCUCGCGCGGGGGAUAACUGCCCGAAAGGGUGGCUAAUACCGCAGAUCUCCGUGAUUCGGUUGACGGAGUGAACCGUUAGGGUGUGAGGAGGGGCCCGCGGCCGAUUAGCUGGCUGGUGGGGUAACGGCCUACCAGGGCUGCGAUCGGUAGCUGGUCUGAGAGGAUGAUCAGCCAGACUGGGACUGCGAACGGCCCAGACUCCUACGGGAGGCAGCAGUUAGGAAUUUUGGGCAAUGGGCGAAAGCCUGACCCAGCAACGCCGCGUGGGCGAUGAAGGCCCUCGGGUCGUAAAGCCCUUUUCCCAGGGAAGAUAGUGACGGUACCUGGGGAAUCAGCCCCGGCUAACUACGUGCCAGCAGCCGCGGUAAUACGUAGGGGGCAAGCGUUGUCCGGAUUUAUUGGGCGUAAAGCGCUCGCAGGUGGUCCGCUGCGUCGUGCGUGAAAGACCCUGGCUCAACUGGGGGGUGUCGUGCGAUACGGGCGGACUGGAGGCCAGUAGGGGGAUGCGGAAUUCCGGGUGUAGUGGUGGAAUGCGUAGAGAUCCGGAGGAACACCAGCGGCGAAGGCGGCAUCCUGGACUGGUCCUGACACUCAGGAGCGAAAGCGUGGGGAGCGAUCCGGAUUAGAUACCCGGGUAGUCCACGCUGUAAACGAUGAGCACUAGGUGUCGGGGGUAUCGACCCCCUCGGUGCCGCAGCUAACGCGAUAAGUGCUCCGCCUGGGGACUACGGCCGCAAGGCUA